CAGAGUUGAAAGACUCCCCAUACCAUCGCGAACGUUACCCUUAACCGUUGCUUCGGCGGGCGGUCUCCUCCUUCCCCCUUCGCCUUGGGGGUUGGGAAACCCCUCGGGCCCCCCUUCGCGGGGGGGCGCCCGCCGGAGGUCACACAAACUCUUGAUACCUGAACGGCCUCUCUGAGUAUUCUGUACUGAAUUAAGUCA
rnacentral:misc_RNA from 1 species